rnacentral:rRNA from 1 species
UACGUAGGUGGCAAGCGUUGUCCGGAUUUAUUGGGUUUAAAGGGUGCGUAGGCGGCUUUGUAAGUCAGUGGUGAAAUAUGGCAGCUCAACUGUCAAGGUGCCAUUGAUACUGCGGAGCUUGAGUACAGAUGAGGUAGGCGGAAUUGACGGUGUAGCGGUGAAAUGCUUAGAUAUCGUCAAGAACACCUAUAGCGAAGGCAGCUUACUAGGCUGUAACUGACGCUGAGGCACGAAAAGUGUGGGGAUCAAACAGG